CCGUGACCCUUAAACAAAACAGACCGCGAACGAGUCACCCGUGCCGCCGGGCUGCGGCCCGGCACGCUGCCCCCCCCGAACCUCCCGCGGGGAAGGGGGGGACGCGAAAAGGAACCCACGGCGCCCCGGGCGCCAAGGAACACCAGUACCACCUCCUGCCCCGCGGAGCGGUCGGCCCGCCUUCCGCUCCCAGGGCGGCGGUUACACCCUAAUCGACACGACUCUCGGCAACGGAUAUCUCGGCUCUCGCAUCGAUGAAGAACGUAGCAAAAUGCGAUACCUGGUGUGAAUUGCAGAAUCCCGCGAACCAUCGAGUUUUUGAACGCAAGUUGUGCCCGAAGCCUUCUGGCGGAGGGCACGUCUGCCUGGGCGUCACGCCAAAAGACACUCCCGACACCCCCCCGCGGGGCGAGGGACGUGGCGUCUGGCCCCCCGCGCCGCAGGGCGAGGUGGGCCGAAGCAGGGGCUGCCGGCGAACCGCGCCGGACGCAGCACGUGGUGGGCGACAUCAAGUUGUUCUCGGUGCAGCGUCCCGGCGCGCGGCCGGCCAUUUGGCCCUAAGGACCCAUCGAGCGACCGAGCUUGCCCUCGGACC
rnacentral:rRNA from 1 species